CAGCAGAUGCAAACGUGUCACCAAACAUGGCGGGCGUCUUCCAAAGCUUUCCUCUCCAACAACUCAGCCCCUACAUCGCAUUCAUUGUGAUUUUUGUUCACAAUGUUGUGCUUGACCAUGAUUUUGAGUGCUCCUGUGGAAACCAGCAGCUGGAGUGCAUUUUAUUCAUGGCUCUGCCAGUCUAAUGUUAGACUCGAUGAUGUUGUGAUUCAACAUCUAGUGCACUCUUGCUAGAGGCGACCAGCAGCAGAAACCAGCAGAUGCAAACAUGGCACCAAGCCUGAAGGGCGUCUUCCAAAGCUUUCCUCUCCAACAACUCAGCCCCUACAUCGCAUUCAUUGUGAUUUUUGUUCACAAUGUUGUGCUUGACCAUGAUUUUGAGUGCUCCUGUGGAAACCAGCAGCUGGAGUGCAUUUUAUUCAUGGCUCUUCCAGUUGUCAUUCUUUUUUUGUUACAACUCUGGGCAGACAAUACCUUUCAGAAAACCUGUAAAUACAUAUGUACAAGACAAUGCUGUGUUUUUUGCUGCGUUAUGUUGUAUCACUUUAUCAAGGCAGUUUUCAUUGGUCUGCUGUGGGUUGUGUACGUGUUCAUUGAUGGAGACUGGUUAGUUUGCUGUCUGAAGGAUGAAAUCUCUACAAAGCCUUCAAAACAUCCAGACUUUGCCUGCAAAGACAAAAACAAGGACAUCACACUGGAGGAAAGAAAACUCAUCGCUGAACUUAGAACCAAAUCCUUGGUAUUUGGUCUCCUGAUCCUCUGUGUCCUUCUUACAGCUGCCUUAGUUAAAUGGAUGAAAUGCUGUGGUAAAAAUUCAAAUUGUUGCAGAGAAACUGAAUAUUCCAAAGUGAUUUUAGAAGAGGAGGAAAAUGUUCUGAAAGAGAUUCUGACAACAGCAGCGAAAGAAAAGUUGACUGAAGGAAUCAAAGCCAGAUUAAACAGUGAUAAUUGGACAGAAUGUUUCGAUGUGGCUGAACAACUGAUUAAAAACGACACUCCACCUCCCGCAGCAGCAGAAAGUCAGGAGACUCUUCAACUUGAAAAACUGAGGCUGGAGGUGAAAAGACUUCGUGCUGAAGUUCAGAAGCUGGAGCCCGACACUCCAGCAGCAGGAGGAACAAGAGGACCAUCAGGAAGAACAUCAGGAAGAACAUCAGGAAGAACAUCAGGAAGAACAGGAGGAGGAACAGGAGGAACAUCAGGAGGAACAGGAAGAACAGGAGGAGGAACAGGAGGAACAUCAGGAGGAACAGGAAGAACAGGAGGAACAUCAGGAGGAGCAUCACAGGUGUGUUUGUGUGUUAAUGAGUCAGUAAUUAGUAAUCUCACCAUAAUAUCUGUUCAGCUGACCGUCAGUCUGUUUAUCAGCAGUUUCCUUCAUGUUGAGAAGAACUGUGAAAAGUAGAUGAUGAUGUGUUGAGAAGCAGUUUAAUUUAGAAAUCACUGUUAAUAAAAAGAGAAUUGUUGGAUGUUGGCAGAGACAGAACACAAGGAAACAACCGAUUCUGCACUUUUAUGUCAUUUAGAUUUGUUUUCCCUUUAAACUAUGAUUCAUUGUUUGAAACUGUUUGCAGGAUAUAGAACUUCAACCAAUGUUGACAGAGGUGAGCCUCUCAGUCUGCCUGCCUGCCUGCCUGUCUGUCUGCCUGCCUGCCUGUCUGCCUGCCUGCCUGUCUGCCUGCCUGCCUGUCUGUCUGAAGUUGUAGUUAUCUAGUUCAUCAUGGCUCUGCUGAGAAAAGGACAAAAACAACCAAAUUAUAAACAUUUUUAAUUCACAGAAAUGUAUUAUUAUAUUCAAACAAUCAGAAAUAUUCUACUGCAUCAGUCAAACUGCAUCAGUCCCUCUGUGGCAGGUUGUAAAGUCAGAGCUGCUGCUGCUGACCUCUGCUGUUUGUUUGUUAGUGAAUCAAAUCUAACAUUUAAAUUCAUUAUUCAUUUUGUUUUGUGUCCAUAAUUACAAACAUGCACCACCUAGUGUUCACUGCAAAGAAAUGCAUUUCUUCAUGAGAAGAGAACAUCUUGUAGGAGACACUACUUUGAUAAAUAUUUGAUAAUUAAUCACUGGCGAUUAAUUUACACUCGUUUACAGGG
ensembl:lncRNA